CAAGCGUGUUUGAAUAUGUUUGACGUCUUUCUUCGGGCUAGAGAAAGAUAACAGACAAGUGGUAUAGAAGAAGCCUUUAUACCUCAUGUAUCUUAUAUAAUGUCAAAUAGAUGUAGUGUGUUUUCUACUCAUUUUAAUGGUAUGACUCAGCUCUUACUAAUAGUUCCUGGUAGCAAUUACUCACAAAAAGACUUGGUCUUUUUAUUUUAGCAGCUUUUCAGAACCUCGCGGAAAUAUUCUAGCAACCUGCUUUCUACAAGGAUAUUUCCAGAAAUCUAUUAACAUUCUUACUCAAUAGAAAGAGAACACUUUAACAUUAAAAAAAUGGACAAAAUGUUCACAUCCACGAGUUGUUAUUAUUUUCAUAGCAACUACUUUGUAAAACAAAAGUACAAAAAAACAACAGAAGAGAGACUAAUUAGCAAAUAGUUUGAAUGCUUGAGAUAAGGAAUCAUAAUGGCUAGUAGGAAAGAAGAAACCUCACAUUUAAGAUAGUUUUUCAGCAAGCUGCAUAAUAGUGUCCAAACAUACUUCCUUUUGGCACACAUUGGUAUACACAGACAAAAGAAACAGGAAAAGAUUUUUUUAGGUCCCUGUGUCAGAAGCAUGCACUUAUGGAGAACUCGGCCAUAAGAGAAAAAAGUUGCCAAAAUUUUAUGAGAAGUACUUUAUUAUAAUUGGAGUAAUUUAAGUCCAAAAAGUAUGCUUUUGUUGAUCAAGUUCUGGUUUUCAUCUGUCCACUUUCUUGUCUCCGUAUUACUGAUAGGCUCUGCAACUGAAAAUGGAAUAUAAGCCAACUCAUAGCUGAUAAAGAAACAUGGCCCUUUGCUAUGCAGAGCAUGGAUUUGCAAGGCUGCUGGAGACAUGGCAAUAGGCAGAAAAGCUGUUCAGUGCAGCCAACACUGGGCUGCUCAGUUGUUCUCAGAUCUAAAUAUAAAAAGCUGCCCAUAUUACAUUUCUCUCCCCGGAGGUGGACCUCCAGAGAAUGGAGCUCAGCAAGCAUGCAGUAGGAAUGAUGAGCCAAUGUGAAAAAACUGUGCCUCCCCUCCUCCACAAAAAUGGACACCUGCAUGACACAAAGAGCUCUCCAAGUGCACAUUUGUAUACGUAAGACUGCUUACUCAUGCUUUUACUGAACAAAUCAAUCUCGAAAUGGGUAUGAGUUUACUGGUAAGAAAAGUCAUGCAAAUAAUUUUAGUGAAGCUUCCUUUUUUCUUUUCUGUAAUAUGAAAUUUAAUACAUAAAUAAAUAAAUAAAUAAAUAAAUAAAUUUGGACUUAUUUAAUGUACAGUUCCAAAUUAUUAUGAGUUGUAGUUAUACCACUACCAUUAUUAUCGGCACAGCAGUUUGGUCCUAAUCCUAAAAGAUUGCUUGAUACACAGAAGUAAUGCAAAUAAUAAGAAGAUAUUGUUUCACCACUGCACAUUAUGCUGCCUGUUGAAGCAAAGGAGACAAACAAUUGAAGACAGGAAAUGUUAUCUACUGAUGAGGCUGUAAGAGCUCUGCUAGUGUAAAGGAAGAAAUCCAUGAUGGAGCUAAGAAUUAAACUACUCAAGUUCGUAAGUGUUAAUGCAGUCUCUUAACUAUGAAGUUACCAUAUUGUUCUGAAUUUAUGUUUCUUGUCUGCAUGUAAUUGGUACCAACUCAUUCAUUAAAGUAGUGUCUAAGCUGAAGUGUACUGUAGGUCCACCUGCAGCCAGCCCUGCAGUGCAGGUACCCCUACAAGAUUUCUUUCUCCUUGGUGAGCCUGGGGCUCUUCCAGUAGAGUGUAGGGCAGAUAAAUGUGAAAAAGGAGGUGAAGUGCACCUGUGUCUGAUCCUGAUACACAGUCAGGAAAUGGGUGGGAUCAGCAUCUCUAUCCAAGAGGUAUGAAGCUCUGCUGGGUCCUUUUCUUUCAAUGUAGCCUAGCUGUCUUGCCAACACUAAAAACAGGGACCAGAUUCUGUCCUGCAUGUGAAAGGACUUCUUAUUUUGAAGACCAACUGUAAUCUUGAACUCUGCAGUUCCCUAUGAAAAUUCCAGGACUUCAGGUGCGAAAAAUCUGAUUUCUUGCCUUGUUGAGAUGGGUUUUAAAUAGCCUAGCUGGAUCUCUUAGCAAGGAUGCUGACGCAACUCUAAAUAGAACUACGCAAGCAGCCCAGCUAUGAAGCCACAUUAAUCUCAACAAGAAUAUUCUUCCAGUGCAAGUGCUAAACCUAUUGCAAGAGUUUUCGGAGGAGGAGAUGAUCAUGCAGUAGCUACUUUGUUUAACAUUUCUCCACGUCUGUGGCUAACAACGAGUUCUUGAGUGCGCUAGACACUACUAGAAAAGGGAAGGAUUUUGCAGCUCCUGGCACUGCAUAUCAUAUACCAGCAGAAAAAGCAAAGAUUUAUUUUUGCUUGCUGAAUGAGAGGGAGAAUGAAGUGCUGAGAGCUCUGUAACGUUUCAUACUCUUUUAGACGCAAAGAGCCAGAUGAAUAUUGUUGGAAAGAAUGUGUUUAUACAAGAAUCAUAUUUAUCUCAGAAGCUGGGGUCCUAACAUUAGAUGAGGCAUGGAGUGAAAAAGCUGAGCAUGUAAUAACUCAGCAAAAUUCCUGCUUCUGCUAUGUAUUUGAGUAAGCUUCAAUUACUUAUUUUUAGGGGUAUGUUUUCAGAAUGGCUCACAUAAAAUUUGUUUCCAAUAAAUAUUCACAUAUACAUUGAGCGCAAAUAAAAUAUGUUUGUUAAAGAAAGUAUUAUUGUCCAACUUUGCUUCGCUUUCCUGAGACAAAUGGUCACAAAUGGUACUGUUAAAAUCCAUGCAUUCGGGGCUUUCAAAAAAAAAAAUUAUCACCCUGCUUUUGGAUAGAAUAUCAGCCUUGGUCUCAGCCUUGCACUACAUUGCAGGUUUUUGAUAGUGCAAUCUGGAUGGAUUCUUCUGGGGUCUAAGAGUACAUUCCCAUGCUCUUUGACUUCAUUGAUUUAAUGGUAAAUGGCACAUUCUUGGAAUGCUUUCAGCGGAAGGAUUCUAUAUAAUAUGGAUAUGAAUAAGCCUGUGAAAUAGUUUGUAUUUUAAGUAGAGCUGUUAUUCCCUCUUGUUAUAUUAGUGUGGUUCCUUUCAUUCCCAUGUUGUUCCUAAUGCUUGUUCUUGUGAGAGAUUCUGAGCUAAGAGAAAUUGGAGUUAAACUAGCUUUUACUAUAAACUGCUUUCUAAGAAAAAAAAUGAGAGACGUUGGAAAUUUUCCCAUUGCACAUCUGUUAGAUGUUAGGCCCAAAUUUGUUCCCAGUUCAGCUGCACUGGUUUAGUACUGGAGUGAUUUAAUUGAACUCAGUGGAGUUAAUCAGACAUGACAAGGCAAUACAGAUUGUUGCAACAUACUUACUGUUUAAAUACUGGCAAUGGCCAUGUCUAAGAUAAUCUCAGAUCAAGAAAAUCUUAUCAUGAAAGGCAGAGAAAUCUAUCAAUCAGGAAUACCCUGUUGACAAAGAAACUGUAAUGGCCAGAAGUUGGUCCAGAGAGAGACUUAUUCUAGCAGACUUCCACCAUCAAUCUAGCCUUGCAGUGGAAACCUUUUCUGCAUCCACUGCUGCAGUCCAGUGAAAGUCCUAUUCCAGCAUUGUAUUCACUCUGUACUACCUUUGGAUACCCUUUCCAUUUUAGAAAUAAAUCUCAGUCUGAGUUCUGGUUUAUAAACUGUAUGCAUGUAGUUCAGUUCACAUGCAGAUUAGGGAAAAUAAUUUAGAUGGCAAUAAAAGCCCUUUUAAUGAAGGAAAGGCACAAGCUGUUAUCUCCUUCGCUUUAGUUAUCAAAGCUGUUAGAAGCAGUUCUGUUGGAAAAGAGAUGAAGAAAAUAAGACAUUUGAUUUCUGUUAAAUUCUCUUUUGCAAAACUUCAGCAGAGGUAAGGGGAAUUAAAGCUGCUCUGCAGAAGCAGAUGAAGAAGUUCCCUCCAACACAAAGAAAUCUUAGGCUGGAAUAAAGCCAGGAGAGCCAGCCUGGUGACAUUAACUCCAUUCACAGCAUAGCAGGUGUAAAAACCAGGAUACAGCAAGAUCCAAACAUACUGUCCUCCAGCAUAAAAGCUUGGAAACUUCUCUUGCUAGUGUAUGGCAGAACAAAUGUUAACAGAACUGAUUUUGCUUACCUGAAGUAUUUUCAAGACUUGAGAUGUUUUAUUCCUAAAUAAGGCAAAACUGAGAUUAUUUUUCUUUAAGGGCUGAAAUGGAAAGCCAUGGUUAGAAAGAAAAAUAGCCAUGGCAGUGUAGCCGUGCUCUAGACUUAAACCUGAACCAACACAUCUGACAUGGGUGCUGCAGCCGUUGUGCAAUUCACCAUCACAAGGGUUGGCACCAGCUCUGGUUUCAUCCAAGACUUCCACGCUGGAAUUUGAAAACCUGUCCCAAUUCCCCACCACCACCACAAACAGCUUCUAAACUGGGACAUUCAGAUAAUAAUUUCUGACAAAUCGAUUUUUUCUGAUUUGAAAGCAUUCAUUGAAAUAAUCUUAAACAGCUCUGGGUUUAGGGCUCCUGAAAUUCAGUGCUAAAAUGUCCUUGGACUGACCUAAAAAUUGUUGGCUGGUGUGCAGCAAGUUGUGCCGUUAUUGCUUUUAUAUUCCCAUCUUUGUUUAGCCCUGUAAUUCCAGAAAUGUUGCAAGCACGCUGUGGUUUAGUUUGUGUUUCGGUUUGGUUUUUCACAGCAGUGAGUGAUAAGCUCUUAUAUGGCCUAAUUGGGCUCUGUCAGACUAGUAGCACUUAAUUGCACAGACUUUUUGGCAUUCGUGUGCAGCCUUCAAACACAGUGGUUCAUGAACAGGACUAACUGCAGCUUAUUCAUUGCUUUACCAUCCAUGGUCAUAACAUUUCGCUAGGAGUAGUGCUGCAGAGAGCACACUGUAUUCCUGUUAAUAUUACAUGACAGCUUGAGAUUUUUUGGAAACCUCCUCCCUCAGACUGUUUAUCCCUCUACAUUGAUAUUUGUCUAGAGAUAUGCUUUACAGCCUGUUUACUUACAAAGGUGUCGGAAGAUUGUUUACCAAUAACAUGUACCUAAAAAUAUUUAGAGUGUAUCAGUUGCCAGUAAAUUUUCUUAGCCACAGUUUUUUUUUUUAAUGUUAAAAAUAUAGAAUGCAAAAAUGAAUACUUUUCAAUGAUAAAAGAUAUGGUACUUAUUGGGGUGUAUUCGCUUUCUUUCUGCCUACCCUGUAAUCAAAAUAAACUGACAAAACCCACUUAUUUUCUCCAUUCAAACCAAUAGACUGCACUGUUUCGAUUUCACUUCCACAAUCCUUUCCCACAGGAUUAUACACUCCUAUCAUGGAUAGUCUGGCUGAGCGACAACUGGAAGAUCAGACAAAUCCAGAAUGUCUGUAAUCACUGCUUAGAAGUUCUAAUCCUUAUUUCUCCACUCAGAACUUCAAAUAUAUAACUAGUAGUACCGUAUGCAAACAUUAUUAUGAUUGUUUGGUGAGUUUAGGGCAGAAAGUUCUGGGAAGUGCAGAAAAAAUUUGGAGGAAGUUAAUGAGAGUGAGUCAAAAACUCUGCAGCAUGUAAGUAAUUUUGCAGGAGGCAGACUAGAGCAUGGGAAUAGCCAUGGAAAAUUAUCUGAACUAAUCAAACCGACUUAUCAUGAAUGAAUAGUCUUUCUAUGGAGAUAAUGAGGAGGGAGUAGACUGGAAUGGUGUAGGAGAACUUAAACAAGGAGCUCUGUAUUUCAUGGUUGUGAUAGUAAGUGGCCUUGGGACAUUAACUUUUAUAGAUUUAUGACCAUUUUCAGUGGUGUUGUCUUCAUGCAGAGAAUUCAAAUGAGUCUCUUGAACGGUUAGGUGAAUUUUAUACCACUUCAUAAAGAAGACUGGGUAUUGCAUGAGCUAUAUUUGAUGUUUGUAGAGCCUCUUGUGGAUCAGUAACAUGGACAUACGGUCUUCUUUACUCAAGGCAGAUGGGCAGCACCGAUGAUAAUUUUGGAGAUACAAGUACUGGGUACCAUCCCAUUCCUCUCAGUCUUCAUAAAGACCAACAAAAGGAAAAUAUCAUACUAGAAUAGCACCAAAGACUCCCUUAGACAAGGCAGAACAACAGCCUCUACGAAGGAAGGUCUAGUGUGUUCUUCACCCCCUCCAUCCUCCCAAAAGGUAAUCCACUCAGAAAAAGCUGGCAAAGAGAUGGCAGUGUUGUAUGCCUCAUUUCUGCCUCGUAACAAAGCUGAGGAAAAUUUUCUGGCAUAUGUUGUGAGAAGCAGUUAACGGUUUGGGAGAACUUCAUUUGAGCUGUCUCAUUAAACAGGCACUGCCAAAAAUAACUGGUCUCUUCUUUAGAGUUGGACCCUCCUAUUGGGCUCCCAUGGUCCUUAAGAAGGAUGUCAGGGAGAGAAGCCACUCUGCAUAGCACCCAUUCUCUCCGUAAAAGGAACUGAUGGGCUUUGAAAAGAAGUUAGCCUGAGCUUAAUUUAGCCAGAAGUAAUUCAUACUUUGCAUUUUUUAGUCUGUGAGCACCUACCAUGGCAAUGAGGUAUAGCCAGCAGCUUCCAUGGCUGUUGGUGGCUCUUCUCCCAUGCACUGCUGCAUGUCAGGGCUAUUUAUUGGCAUAGAAGUGGUGCAAGAGUGUCUACAAUACCUACAAUUUUUGGAAAUGUACAUAUCACAAUGUUAUUACAAACAAUCAGUCAGUGUUGUACCAUUUCAGUCUCCCAGAGGAUAUAUAGAAGCAUUUUAAAAGUAUUCAUAGCAUUUAAAAAGAGGAAGUUUUAAGUACUUGAAGUUGCUUUGUAGAUUUUCCCAUGCAUUUCUGAAACCCCUCAUUGCUUGAAAAAAUAAAAAUAAAAAUAAAAAAGUUGGUGUCGCUGAAAAGAUACCUGACCUUGAGUGAGACUUUGACAAUCAUAUCAUAUACUGGCCAUAAUACAGUACUCACAUUAUCUGAAAAGGCAUAUUUUGGGCCAUAUCUUGAAGGCCGUAAAACACUGUUUUUCAAGUUUCACUUAAUUCAUUCAGUGGCCCCAUGUGUACACAUGUGCCCAUGUAAGCUGUUGAUGGUCAGCUUGGCUAUGAGGACCUGCCAGAGUGAUUCUCAAAUUUCUUUGGUUUGUCUCCUCUGAAGAUGACCUGCAAGGUGCCCUUUUGAUACUUGUGUCUAACUAGGGCACUGUGCUUUAAUCCCCACCUUGUAAUGUUCCUGAAGUGGAACAAGGCAUAUUGAUUACUGCUAGAAUCUACUCUUGAAUAAUGUUUUUUAAUUCAUGGCCCAAAAUUUAAGAUAAACUGUAUGAUCAGUUUUAUUAAUCAGGAACUGCUGCAUUUCACUGAAGAUAUACGUGUUCCAUUAGAUUUAGAGAAAAAACUGAGCAACAAUUUAAAAGUGUGCUAAAUGCAUGCUUGCAUAUUUUUUAUUUAAUCUCAAAGUUUUAAAUUAUUUCUUUUUCACAGCACAUCUGUGGGUCAAUGCAUUAUUGUGUUGCUGUAUGUGUUUUAAAUUUCCAUAUUUUUUUAAAUUAUAAUGGUGCAAACAUGCUUUAGCUAGCACGUGAUUCAACAAGUCUUAAAUUAAGUCAUAGCUAGUCUUUUCAUGUUUAUAUUUUUGUCACUGUGUUUUAUUUUCCAAGCACAUAUCUUCAGCAUUUCUUCUAGUAAGUUGUUAAAAUCUGCACACAAAAAAAGUCUUCUGAAAUAUGCUUCAAAGACUCUUUCUUAUUUUUCUCCAUAAAUUUUAAAAAGCCCUGUUUAUCUGUGUGCUGAAGGAUUACUGCUGACGCUGAAGCUUAUGGAGCUUCAUAUAUACAUAUAUAUAUAAAUAAUUAGCAAAUACCAAACUAACAUCAGUAGAAGGGUUUGUCUGAGACCCACAGUUCUUUUGAGGUGUCAUAGGGAUUAUGAUACCCACCUGGGUAAGGAGAGCAUCCUCCUAACUCCAGAGAGGUGAGCGCAAGGAGGUUCUGGGCAUCGACUGGAGAGAAGGGUUCUCCUGGAAGUGUGGUUCCCAUCUCCAUUUCAUCACACAGGAGUGAUACUGCUGUUAGCACAGCCCAGUCUCAAGCCUCUGUCCAGCAGAUAUAUGCCAAGGUAACUCCAUUAUCCUAUUGCUGUGAAAAGACAUCUCUCAAAACUGAGAGCCUGUACUCCACCUACCAAACCUGCUGGGUGCUGCUGCUGCUCCCUGGGGAAUGAGAAGCCUGUAGCUUUGCUUGUUUGUUCUGUAAUCACUCUUAGAAAUUGUUACGGUAAAAGUGAAUGUUAUAGUAAUUUCUUCUUUAAUAAAAUAGUUACAUUUUAACUACUGUUUGGCUGCCGCUAAUCUAGGGAGAGUGUAGAAAAAAAGCAAAGCAAAGCAGAAAGAAGCAAAGACAAAACAAAAAAUCUACCUAUGUUUUAUUUUGUUCUCAGUAGAUACCCUGUUUUACCCAGUGAGCACUCCAUCUGAAGUCUGCAUUUUUCAAAAACUGAAUCAUGGUUCAAAGGCAGCACUGUCACUGUGGGAGAUGGAGGUGUGCAUUUGAACUGCAUCAAGUUCUGGGAUCUCUAUCAAUUUUCUUCCCAGUUUUCUUCCCAGUGGUUUACAUGUAACUUCACCUCUCUUUCUCAACUUCCCCCCACCUUAGAUCUAUAAUUUCUAACAUUUCCAAAUAAGAUUAAUGGCUGAUACGUGGCUGUCAUGGCUUUAAAGAUGACAAUGUUUCUUGGUGUGACUUUGUGGAGCAUCUCUUGCCCCAGUUUAGGUAUUUUUUUCCUAAAACAAUUUAUGUUUCCUUAGUAUUACCAAUUUGUUCAUCCAUAGUGAAUGAAAGGAAUCUGGGUAGGCUUUACUGUUCAUUUCUCUUUGUAAGUUGAAAGCUGUGUUUCUUAAAAACAUAUCAAUUAAUAGCUGUACCUUAUAUGAAUACAUAAAGGAAAGUAGUGUAUGUGCUUUAUUAAUAGCACAGAGCAGAAAAGACUAGAUGAAAACAGUUAACCAAACAGCUCUGGGGUAAUAAUGUUUGAAGGAGAUACUAGCUUGUGGGAACUAAGGAGCCUUCAAGCACCCAUGCUUUGGCUGUGACUUCUAAAUUCUUUGCUUUAGACCUGGUGGAGGGUUGGUGGUUUUUUAUAACUUCAUGAUAACAAUUUGCUGAGACUGAAUGCAGAUGGAAUUUGAGCAAUGACUGUUUCCCACUGAGGAGAUAAUAACACAAGUAAACAAUACAGGUGGUAAAGAUCCUGCCAGAGACAAAGGCCUGCCAGUCCAGGCUGCGUCAAGGCAUCCCUGCCUUUCCCAUGCUGACACAGCGUGCUCUUCCUCCCUGGGUCUUCCUCACCAUUUCUCUUUCUCCUUGCCCUAAGCCUGAUCCAACUGCUUUCAGCUGGUCUAUUUUUCAGUUUCAUUUCUUUGUUUCAUCAGCAGUGGUUUAGGGCAGUAGUGUUCUUGAUGCUGUGCAGAACAGUGUGUCCUGUUGUCAAUUGACUAAUUUCUCAAAUCAUCACUAAUUUCAACUGUCAAAAAUUGGAUAUUCAACUGGGGAUUGAGGUCAUAUCUUCUCUAAGAUAGAACUUGAAUGAAGCUGCGAGUUACUUAGCUAAACAGCUGAAAAGCAGUAUCCUAAUUCUAAUCUUUUGCUAAAUCUAUCUCCUUACCAUUUCUUCUGUAUUUUCAAAAUAUAUUUCACCUUUUUUUUUCAGAUUUUCUGUGUAUUAAGAUGUUAAUUUGUUGGGGAAAGUUCAAUUUAGGAGGUAUUUCUACAGAAAUCUCAUAACCAUUUUGCAUAAAAUAAAUAAAAUACUUUGAAUUUCUGUAAUAGUUUGAAAUCUAAGACAUCCACAUCUCAACGUCUAGACAGACCUUUAUAAAUAACAAAAAUUAAUUGGGAAAUUGUAAUAAAUGAUUGUUCUCUUCAGAAGUAAAAUACUUUUAUUGAAUGCUGAAAGGAAAUAGUUUUGAUUUUUUUUGUGUGCCCACACUCUAUCAUAGUUACUAAUGCAAAUGCUUCAUUAAAAUUCUUCCUAACUUGCAUAAUCCCCAGGGGGUUACUAAACUCUAUUCUUUUAGAAUUAGUUCCAUCUUUUCAAUGUAUCUCAUAUGUGCAGAAACCAGACAAAAUCACUGAGACCAAAAGGAAUACACAAAUAGACAGUUUUUCUUCAUUGCAGUUGGGUUAACCAGCUGGCACGGCCAGAAAUAAGUUUUCAUUGAUUUUUUAAUACAACACUUGUUGCUGCAUUUGUAUCCCUUGAUAAUUCUUUCAUCCUUUUUAAGACAAAUUCAUCUAUAUUCUCCUUUUAAUGCAUCUAUUCCAAAGUCUGCUGUGGGUUUUUUGUUUGUUUGGGGGUGGCGCAGGAGUAGGAAGAAAAGCAUGACCCUUACUCAGAAACAUGCAAAGAAAGCUGAAAAUCUGUAUCGUCUUGCUUUCUCUGAGUCUUAUUCUGAUCUCUCCUUUUAGAUGCACUUUCUUUCAGUUGUUUCUUAUGCCAGAAAGUAAUGAAAUAAUCAGUAUAUGUUGAGAAAAAAAGACAGGUUUCUCUUAGGAGUGCUUGCUCAUGGAAGCAUGUAACUCAGCAGCAGAGACUUUUUGCAACCUAGUUCAGAACUGCAAGUUCUGCAUAAAGCAGUACUGUCUGUAGAGCGACAGGCAGGGCUUUAGCCAAGAUUAUUACACUGUUGUAGAACCAGAAGCCUAGGUUUUCUUAUCUGUAAAUGUGUGGGAGACCUCACAUGCACAUAGACAUGACAGCAACAAGCCCACUGGUUUUAUAUCCACAGGCAGAUAGUCACAAAGUUAUGUCUUUGCUUUUGCUAAUAAUGCAAACUUUACCUGAGCAGUUCCUAGUAAUUACCAGUGGUUAACAGGAAGAAAUUAUAGUGCCUCAUGUUAAUGACCCCUUAUCGGUUUUAAAGAAACUAGAAGGCUGUAUGGCUUAUACAGAGAUACAGAGAUACACAGAGAUCUGAAGACAGCAAACCAAAGGGAGAAUAAAUACAUACACAGACAUUAAAAAAAUAAAUUGCAGACAUCACAGAGAAGAAAAAAUCUAAGCACUGAAAAAAAAAUGUAAACAGUAGAUCUGGUAAAGAGCUAAUUUACAGGACCUCAAAGAGGAUCCUGGACAUCAAACAUAUUCUGAAUUACAGAAUCGUUAAGGUUGGAAGAGACUUCUUCACAUCAUCUAGUGCACAUCACCACCACCCCUCUCAAGCAGGGUCAACUAGGGCAGGUUAUUAGUUAGCCUUGGUUAUUUUCCAUAUAAUUUGGGGGUUAUCAAUCAGUGUAGUGACUCAUUUGACCAUCCACAUUACGACAGUCUGCUGUAGCACUCAGUAAUGAUACUUUUCAGAGUUUGUGUGCUUUCACAUAACAAGUGUUCUUAAGCUCUUUACAAAAAUAAGAAAAAUAAAAAAUAAAAACAAAAUAAAAAAGGAUGGAAAUAAAAAAUACAGGUGUUAGCUUGUGUAGAAGAGCUAGCAUUGGCUCUUUUCAGCAGCUAAGUAAAACCUAUAAGCUCGCCUAGGUGCAGAGGAAGUCAGAAAAUUAGAGCUAAAACAUUUUUAAUGGAGAAAGCAGGGAGGGAGGUCAAAGGAGCCACAUGAACAUAAACAUGAACACGAAGUGCAUUUGUUACUGUCAAAAACACAGAAGAUUGAUGCUGCCGGUGGCAGUUCAGGUUUCACAUUACCAGUGGAUCCAGGACCUAUAAAUCUAGGACACGUGUUUCCGGAUCAGUUAAUUUUUAAGAAAGGAGGAAUAGCUUCCUAUUUACUUCUUAAUUCUUUCAUCCUUGCUUGUAGCAGUAAGAGUAAAGCAGAAGAGGCAUACUAGCAGAGGUUCAGUGUUAGGGUUAACCUGUGAACUGCACCGUUGUGGCCUUUCAUCACCAGCAAUUCAAAACUCCCUGUCAAUAAAUGCAGUCUCUCCUAUGAGUCUGAUGGAAGCACUUUAUGGAGGUACUUUAUCACAAGUUCAUGAAGACAACACAGUACUGAUUUAUUUGACACAACUCAUACUGCUAGCACAUCGUAUUUUUUUUUGCCAGGAAGGCACUGGUUUAACAAAGCUUGAAAGCACUCCACAACCAGAAUCUGAAAUACUGAAGAUGCUCUGCUCAAACUGAAGCCUGAAACUAGUCCCCAGAGAUGGGACCCAGAUUAGUAGUCACAACAAUUUUUUUAAAAAAUCUCUGUUAUUCCUCUGGAAUGUGAAGGUUUCUUCUGCUGUUUCUCCUUGUCUGGAAGGCCUUUCUGUUUAAUGGAAAACAUCACCUGCAUUUGCUACCAGUUAGAGAUCAGCCUUAUUUUUUUUCCAGGGCCUGUCAAAAUAACAGUAACUCCUUCAACAAAAAGUAAUUUGCCAGUACAGUUUAAUAGUACUUUGACUCCCUUUAGCAUCUGCAGGUAGAAAAGGAAUAAAGGAUCAAAAAGAAUGGUUUGCUCUGAUUCUUGUUCUGGUGCUCUGGUGAAACAGCCACGUAGCCCACAUUGUCUACAAUAAAAGUUUUAAAACUUUCCAGUAGUUUUUGAAAUCAAUGUUUAAAAUAAUAAAUAGGCUUUUUCCAUUAACAGCUGUAGAACAGUCACUGAUGAUCUUCUCCAGAGCAUCCUUUCCCACAAUGACGAGAUUUUGGAAUCUAGAGAAGAUGUGUGGGCACACUUGGCUACCUCAAACCAAACGUAAUGGAAAAAUUUGAUUUCAUAAUAGAUCUGGAGAACUAUAUCUUCCUAUUCAAGUUCAUACACCAGUCUUGUCUAUCUUCAGGACUGCUAUCACAUGCUACAUUACACAAAGAGAGUAUUUUUUCAGCUAGGUGAUACGGAACUAUUUCUUUUAGGAUUCAAAGGAAAAUACUUUCACUCUUCUUCCUGAUUUCAAGAAAAAUAAAAAGAAAUUAAAAAGUGGGAUCACAGAGACUCUCCAAGGAAUCAGUUGCUAUAAUAAUUUCCCCAGAUCAUUCAGCUACCCUAAAUCUAGUUGAUCUAGCUUGUAGUACUGUCAAAUUAUAAAAAUAUUGUGCAUACAGAAGACAGGAAACCUAAUUAUAUUAUAUUAAAAAAAAAAAAAGAACUGACAGUUUUCAGUAUUUCCACUUACUACCUAAAGAUGGCAAGACCUCUCAUAGACUACAUUGAUUAUUGUUUUGGGAGACAAGCCCAUCAUGAAGCCAGGCUCACCAUCAAAGUGAUGGUGUUAGAGUAUUUGUGAUGCUAGCAAGCCACACACACUGGAUGGAAGACCUAAGGUUCAUAUAGCUUCUGCAUAAUCUGACUCAACAUCAGGCUUCAGUAGAGUCCCAGUUGCUGAAAUCUGUACACCAUCCUCAUUGAUACUAACAUCAAGAUUUGCAACUCAUAUAGAGAAAACAACUGUGUGAGAUCCAUUCAGAUGAUCUCACGGCACCCUGCUGCUCACAAGCACCAUCUGGCCACAGAAGCGUUAAGAGAAAAAUACAUGUCACUUAUUCUGUAUCAACAGCGGCUCUUCAGAGUGCUGCGCACAUCUGCCUCAGAGCCCCCAGUCCUUCCUGGUGGUUCUGAGCCAGUCACCUGGCCUUCCCGGGAACUCGGAGACCAUCCCAAGCUGUAAAUUCCCAGGACUGCAGACCCAGGGUGCCUAAGGUCUGCAACAAGUCCCCUAUGCUGGCUGCUGGAGAGUGUGUUCGGGGCUCCCAUGUGGAGAGGGUAUCUCAGCACAGAGUUUCUUAAAACUGUCACAGCCUCUGUAAGGGAUUUAAAUUCUUUUUACAGCUAAAGUAGCUAGUAGUAGGUUGCAUUUAAAUGGUCAAGUCAGUUUGAUAGCUGUUCCCACCACAAAAAUAGUUACGGUUUUGUCUAAGCAGAAGAGAAGCACAGAAUGGAAAAAUUGGCAUAUGACAUACUGAGUUCCUGCAGGGGUUUUAAUUUUCACAUACUCUUAAACUCAUGGAGCCUAAUGAGCUUAACAUUUUGGCCAGUUGCACAAUUUAGAAAUUUCAACAGUGAAUGGUUUUUGGACAGAAAAAUGAUGUUCUCACAAAUAAGAAAAGUGAACAGAUGUUACUAUUGGUGCUUCCAACGCCUACUGACAGAAAACAUCUGUGUCAAACUUCCUGAAUUUUAGGAUCUUGAGAACACUCCCACACACACCACCAAAAGCCAUUUGAAAACAAUUGGGCUGGCAGAUCAGUUUUCGGGUCUAUUACUGAAUGUUCCAACAAGAGCAGGUGCUGCUUGUUGUCUUGUCUCUAGGAGCCUGGCUGGCCAAGCAGCAACCGUGCUGCUACCCGAAACGGGAGCGCCGGCUUCCUCCAUUAUGCGAGGUUUAGGAUUUGAUGUGGGCUGUGAUUUAGUAAAAGGCAUAAAAAACAGUUGAUCCUAGUACAAUGAUCCUGAUAAAAUGAGUGGGGGGAAAAAAAAAAAAAAGUCAAUGUAGAUGCUAGCAAACUUGAAGAAUUAUCACACAUUGCAUUUUUGCCCUGGAAAUUGUCUGGCUUUCGUAAUCCUGUCAAAAUCCAUGUUAAAUGAACAGAAUUUUCUUCUGUUUUGAAAACACACUCAUAGUGCUAAAUGUCUGAGGCAUUUGCUGUCCCUCAAAAUACUCAGUCAAACAUUUGAUAGGUACCAUGACCAAAUUUUGCCCUUUUAUAUAAGCAUGAUACAGCAGCUGUCACAAAGUAACUGGGAGUUCCCUGCUUCCUCCUGCUCCACACCCUGCAUCUUAAUAUUUGUCUGGUUGGAAGAGCAAAUUUGGCAAGAUGGUUUUUGUCUCUGGUGGAUUUUUUGUUUGACUAAAAACUAGCCUUCUCCUAUUAAUUAAAUGCUAAUGAGUGUUUGCAAGGAUAAAUCAAUGCCAUUUUAUUGCUCUGUAAAACAUCACUAGCUCAUGAUCUCAACUUCACUGCUGAUGUUUAAGUUCAUUUCAAAUAACAUCUCUAAGUUAUCUUAGUUAACUCUAUCUUAGAGAAAACUUUUAUUUGGAACUCAGGGGAAAAACACGUCAAUAUAAGUGUGGUUUCUUUUGUUUUUUGUUUUUGUUUUUGUUUCUGUGUUAGACUGAUACUCUUCAUUUUACCAACACAAAAUGAAUAGCUCCAUUCAUCACACUUCCACUCUCACACUAGCCCGAAGCACCUGCCACAGUGUCAGGCCAGCCCCAGCUCUGCUCGCUCUGCACAUUUCUGAAAUGUGACGAUUUUCCCCUUACCCUCCAGCUAGAGCCACAUACCAAAACUUUAGCAGAGCCUGAUGUCAGCAGAAAUUUUGAAAGCCUGAAAGGAAGUGAAGUAGUUGCCAGAUGAUAUGGUUGUAAUAAGUGAAUAUGCUCUUGAGCACAUGGCAUUGUCAUCAUCUGAUCAGUUGAAACAUUUCUAACUUCCAAGAAAAUCCCACUAUUUUGCAUCAAUACCUGCCAAAUUCAGUACAUUUAUUGCAUUUACAUCCAGCUCUUUUUUCAAGCAGCAUAAUUCUCACACUCAAGUUUAUUUCUUCAUCCUAACUAUUAAAUAUGCAAUUGAUCUAUUGGGGUGUUACCUUCUUGCAGUUUAGAAAGGAACAAUGUGGAGGUCAAUAUUUGAGCUAGGCACCUAAGCUCCUUUUAUAGACAACGAAUUAAAAUGGGCACAUUCAGUGUGUAUUCAUCUGGCCUAGUUUGAAUGUCUGCAUUAGGAUGCCGUAAGAUUUCACCCUCACCUGAAUGUAGCUUUGGCUGACUACACUGAAUGACUACGUGUGUUCAGUAAAUACAAUCCUGUUUAGAAAAAUGAUGCCUUUCAAGGCCUUUCAAGUCCUGUCACAUAAUUCAGUAGAAUGUGCUCACCAGAUAGAUGUAUUUGGUAAUAUAUCUCAAUUCUGUUUCUAAAUUUCCAAGCCAUUAAAUUACCAUGAUAUAAAGCAGGAUGUGAAUUUACAGCCUGUCAGCCACCACUCCACUGCUAGCGCUGGCAUACACGCUGACCUUACUGCAAUGCUGAUGGGGUAAGGUACUUCCCAUUUACUGCAUGGUAUGAACAUGAAUGCACCUGGUGCAUUGCAAACACAAAUCUUAGCUUACUUGCCACCUCAUAACUUGUGCAACUACACUCUGGACUUUCAGAGCUAUUCCCUUCGCUGACUCUGCAGGCAAAAACACCAUGUCCUUCUUGCCCAGCACUUCAUGCCCAUAUCUUCUUUCCUCCAGACAAUGACCUUUUGAAGACAGAAUGGAAAUCCUCGCGAGGUUUUUUUGUCUAGACUUGCCCUUUCCAAUGUUUAUCUUCAACAGAGCAUUGACAUGGUCCCAAUAUCAUUCUUUCUUCAGCAGCUCUGCAAAGCACAGAAAGUAUUUCUGACAUGUAAUUGUAUGUGUUUUGUGACAUGAAGAAACUUUUAACUAGUUCUUUUGAGUGCUUGACCUACAUUCCAGUACAUAUUUUCUUUUAUGCAUGUUUUAUCUUCUUGGGUGACAUAGCAACUUUCUGGAAGAUCACAAAUUAGAUCAAACCGUGGGAACAGAAAACAGUACAAAAUUAUUUCAUUUACUGACUACAGAAAAGGACUGUGGUUUCUUUCAUAGUUCUUUAAGGAGACUUAAUGUUUGUUCCUUCCUUAACCAAAAAAAAAAAAAAAAAAAAAAUCUGCAAGCUGAAUCACUGCUCUGGAAUUAACAUUAAUGUCAUUUGGUCGCCACUGUCCUGAGAGAAAAUGUCACAUGUCCAGACAAUAUAGUUGAAAGA